rnacentral:rRNA from 1 species
AGAGUUUGAUCAUGGCUCAGAACGAACGCUGGCGGCAUGCCUAACACAUGCAAGUCGAACGAGACCUUCGGGGUCUAGUGGCGCACGGGUGCGUAACGCGUGGGAAUCUGGCCCUGGGGUGCGGAAUAACUCGGAGAAAUCCGUGCUAAUACCGCAUAAUGUCUUCGGACCAAAGAUUUAUCGCCCUGGGAUGAGCCCGCGUAGGAUUAGCUAGUUGGUGGGGUAAAGGCCUACCAAGGCGACGAUCCUUAGCUGGUCUGAGAGGAUGAUCAGCCACACUGGGACUGAGACACGGCCCAGACUCCUACGGGAGGCAGCAGUGGGGAAUAUUGGACAAUGGGCGAAAGCCUGAUCCAGCAAUGCCGCGUGAGUGAUGAAGGCCCUAGGGUUGUAAAGCUCUUUUACCCGGGAUGAUAAUGACAGUACCGGGAGAAUAAGCUCCGGCUAACUCCGUG